rnacentral:tRNA from 1 species
GGGGAUGGGGCUCAGUGGUAAAGCUCUUGCCUGACAUGCAUGAGGACCUGGGUUUGAUCCCCAGCACCACAA